rnacentral:rRNA from 1 species
UACGUAGGGUGCAAGCGUUGUCCGGAAUUAUUGGGCGUAAAGAGCUCGUAGGCGGUUCUGUCGCGUCUGCUCGUGAAAACCUAGGGCUUAACUCUGGGCGUGCAGUGGGUACGGGCAGGCUAGAGUGGCGGUAGGGGAGACUGGAAUUCCUGGUGUAGCGGUGAAAUGCGCAGAUAUCAGGAGGAACACCGGUGGCGAAGGCGGGUCGCUCGGGCGAGUAACUGACGCUGAGAGCGAAAGCGUGGGGAGCGAACAGG